rnacentral:rRNA from 1 species
GACGAACCGAGCGAACGUUGUUCGGAAUCACUGGGCUUAAAGGGCGCGUAGGCGGGCUGUCAAGUCUGGGGUGAAAUCCCACGGCUCAACCGUGGAACUGCCUUAGAUACUGACGGCCUCGAGGGAGAUAGGGGCGAGCGGAACUGUGAGUGGAGCGGUGAAAUGCGUUGAUAUUCACAGGAACUCCGGUGGCGAAGGCGGCCCACUGGAUCGGUACUGACGCUGAGGUGCGAAAGCGUGGGGAGCAAACAGG